AUGGUGGUUACAAUCGAGGGUAAGUUCAUUUCUCAUCUUCCUAAUCUCUCUAUCUUUUCUAAUCCAAACUGAAAUGAUGCAGUUGCUUUGGCCAGGAUUCAAACCACGACCCGAAACGUCCGACCCCUUGCCUCCUUGAACCAUCUGCCAUUUAACACAUUACAAAUUGCCUUCUUUUUCAUCUUAUCUUCCAAAAACCCUAGCUCCUCAAACUCUGCCGUUUUGUAUUCAUUAUAAGCCGCGUCCGACAUUCGAUUGAUAUGUUGUGUAGAUAAUCCAGUACAUACAUCAUCGGGUUCUUCUUUCUCAUCGUCUUACUGUUGUGUUUUCGAAAUGGUCUCUUGUUCGCGAAUUGAAGGAGGACAAGAGGUGCGCAAUUUAUCAGCCGGUGUUCGUGAAACCAUUCAAUCGAUCAAAGAAAUCGUUGUAGGCUACCCUUAAAGUGACCAACAUGGACCUUGAGAGAUCGUUCAGAAAUUUUUAUAUCCAGGGAUUGUACUUUCAGCAGGAUUGGAAUUUCAUGUUUGCCUUAAUGCCACUGAGGAAUUUCCAAAGAUGAUUAAUUUUUUGAUAUGCUAGACAGUUUGUUGAAGUUUCAUGAAUUUUCUGUUGGAAAUUUCUAUCGUAUGUGGAAUUUAUAUAACAUUCAAGAGUUUCAUAUUCAAAUGUUACGAAGGUUGUAUCACUUCACCUCGUAGUUUUGCAAAUUUUAAUCUCAUAUACUGUUCAACAAAGCUCUUCAACUAUAUUUAUAUGUGUAGAACAUGAAUUCCUUGUUUGUUUGGUUCUUGAUUUAGAAUAUUCGUUGUCAAUUUGCAGUUCAACAUUUGCACAUAUACAAAGUGAUGUAAGAUUACAAGUUGUUAAAUAUUAGAAAAAUACAUAGUUUAAUACUUAGUUGACUAAAUAUUUCAGCAUAAAAUAUAAUCUGAAUGAAAAAUCAUAUGAGAUGCACAUUAAGACUGUGAUUAUUGAUAUCAAGUAUGUUAUCCAGGGACAAAUUAAGGCUAAAGGACUUGCUUCCUUGACUUCAUCUCUUCCUAAAGUCCAAUUUUGACCCGGCGCCUAAAAGAGCGAACCAGAUGUCACGAGAAGAACACCUGAUUAUUUCUUGUGAAGUUGAGUAAUACUCGUGACUGGUUGAAUCGCUGUUUUGAUCUAACAAAUAUCGGCGCAAGUUCUUCAUUGGUGGAUGCGCGAAAGUUCUUCAUUGAUUCGCUCUUCCACGUUGCACUAUCGACGAUAUCGAGUACGAGCUACACGGGGAUGGAUCUCGUGUCGUUUCAAAAGUACCCAAAUGGGCUCACGAGAAGUGGCUCCGCAAGUAUCAGAUGAUUCUCCUGAAGACACCUCACCAAGUGAAACCACCUCGAGAGACGCUACUGCUGAUGGUGGAAAGCGCCCUUGUGAGGAUCAUCCAAACUCUGCAUUAGCAACUGCUUCUAUAUAAAUAUACAACUUCUAUGUGAUUUUUUAUCGUUUUAAGGUUUAAGGUUUGAGUUAUGUUUCC
rnacentral:lncRNA from 1 species